AUGGGCUCGGGGCGUGGCCGAACACACAGGCAAGGCUCUCCAUCUUGCCGGUGUAGUAGCCCGAGCCAGACGACCAGACCUAACCACGCGACGCGAGUUCCAGACCUCCAGGGAGCCGAGGCUGCCGCCGCCGCCCGCCGGCGACUCCCCUGCAGUCCCCUGCUCGGCUGCUCCCCUCCCCUGACUCCGGCGCUCCCAUCCAGUCCCCUGCAGGCUGCAGCCCUGCUCGCCUGGCUCGCCUGCUCUGCUUCUCCAGCCGGGCGCGGGGCGCCGCGCGCCGGCUCUGCUCCGGCCCUGCUCCAUCCUCCAGUCCUGCCGGCCUCUCCCGCCUCCCGGUCUCCCCCGCGCAACUGCUGCCCCGACUGCAGCCGAGAAAUAAAAGAUGAAUAG
rnacentral:rRNA from 1 species